AACGAACGCUGGCGGCAUGCCUAACACAUGCAAGUCGAACGAGACCUUCGGGUCUAGUGGCGCACGGGUGCGUAACGCGUGGGAACCUGCCCUUAGGUUCGGAAUAACUCCCCGAAAGGGGUGCUAAUACCGGAUAAUGUCUUCGGACCAAAGAUUUAUCGCCUUUGGAUGGGCCCGCGUUGGAUUAGCUAGUUGGUAGGGUAAAAGCCUACCAAGGCGACGAUCCAUAGCUGGUCUGAGAGGAUGAUCAGCCACACUGGGAGUGAGACACGGCCCAGACUCCUACGGGAGGCAGCAGUGGGGAAUAUUGGACAAUGGGCGAAAGCCUGAUCCAGCAAUGCCGCGUGAGUGAUGAAGGCCUUAGGGUUGUAAAGCUCUUUUACCCGGGAUGAUAAUGACAGUACCGGGAGAAUAAGCACCGGCUAACUCCGUG
rnacentral:rRNA from 1 species